rfam:Schistosoma mattheei strain Denwood, Zambia genome assembly, scaffold: SMTD_scaffold0017818
AUCGAGCUGACGAGUCCCAAAUAGGACAAAACGCGCGCCCUGGAU